AUCUGGGCGGCGGAAUUCAGGAUGGUCGGGCGAGUUUCGCGCUCGCCGGGCCGUUUGAUAUUUCCGUCGCCGUGUCGGACGUCGCGACCUGUUGGCCGUCGGUCCCUGCUUCGGAGGAAUCGCGAUCGAGUUCGUUGCGCGGUGCGUUUCGGCGUGUCGCGCGGUGAAGACGCGGCUCUCUGGCUGACGGCGGACAGUAAGCAACGGUGUCCGGCGCCGUGUCUCGCACUCGGCGCCGGUGCCGGUCUGCGACGAUUUCUUCGGGCCUCUUUCCGACCCGUCUUGAAACACGGACCAAGGAGUCUAACAUGCGCGCGAGUCGCGGGGUUUCGAGCGCGCCACGGUGCGCUCGUGACUUGCGAAACCCGUACGUGGAAGGCGUAAUGAAAGUGAAUGGGGAAGAUGGCGUUCCGAGUCCACGUACCGUGAUCGAGUGUCGCGGCCGGACGUCCGCACUCCCGGGGCGUCUCAAUGGUUCGUCGCGGACGCGGACGGUCGUCUCUCGGGGCGGCCGUCGAUCUGCGCCGGACCGA
rnacentral:rRNA from 1 species